ACGGGUGAGUAACACGUGGAUAACCUACCUAUAAGACUGGGAUAACUUCGGGAAACCGGAGCUAAUACCGGAUAACAUAUUGAACCGCAUGGUUCAAUAGUGAAAGGCGGCUUUGCUGUCACUUAUAGAUGGAUCCGCGCCGUAUUAGCUAGUUGGUAAGGUAACGGCUUACCAAGGCAACGAUACGUAGCCGACCUGAGAGGGUGGUCGGCCACACUGGAACUGAGACACGGUCCAGACUCCUACGGGAGGCAGCAGUAGGGAAUCUUCCGCAAUGGGCGAAAGCCUGACGGAGCAACGCCGCGUGAGUGAUGAAGGUCUUCGGAUCGUAAAACUCUGUUAUCGAGGAAGAACAAAUGUGUAAGUAACUGUGCACAUCUUGACGGUACCUGAUCAGAAAGCCACGGCUAACUACGUGCCAGCAGCCGCGGUAAUACGUAGGUGGCAAGCGUUAUCCGGAAUUAUUGGGCGUAAAGCGCGCGUAGGCGGUUUUUUAAGUCUGAUGUGAAAGCCCACGGCUCAACCGUGGAGGGUCAUUGGAAACUGGAAAACUUGAGUGCAGAAGAGGAAAGUGGAAUU
rnacentral:rRNA from 1 species